rnacentral:rRNA from 1 species
UGGGGAAUAUUGCACAAUGGGCGCAAGCCUGAUGCAGCCAUGCCGCGUGUGUGAAGAAGGCCUUCGGUUGUAAGCACUUUCAGCGAGGAGGAAGGUGGUGAGCUUAAUACGCUCAUCAAUUGACGUUACUCGCAGAAGAAGCACCGGCUAACUCCGUGCCAGCAGCCGCGGUAAUACGGAGGGUGCAAGCGUUAAUCGGAAUUACUGGGCGUAAAGCGCACGCAGGCGGUUUGUUAAGUCAGAUGUGAAAUCCCCGGGCUCAACCUGGGAACUGCAUUUGAAACUGGCAAGCUAGAGUCUCGUAGAGGGGGGUAGAAUUCCAGGUGUAGCGGUGAAAUGCGUAGAGAUCUGGAGGAAUACCGGUGGCGAAGGCGGCCCCCUGGACGAAGACUGACGCUCAGGUGCGAAAGCGUGGGGCAGCAAACAGGAUUAGAUACCCUGGUAGUCCACGCUGUAAACGAUGUCGAUUUUGGAGGUUGUGCCCUUGAGGCGUGGCUUCCGGAGCUAACGCGUUAAAGUCGACCGCCU